rnacentral:rRNA from 1 species
GGUUACUGCUAUCGAGGUUCGACUAAGCCAUGCGAGUCGAAUGUAGCAAUACAUGGCGAACUGCUCAGUAACACGUGGACAACCUGCCCUUAGGUUGGGUAUAAACCCGGGAAACUGGGUAUAAUACCCGAUAGGUCUCGAUUGCUGGAAUGCAUCGAGAUUUAAAGCUCCGGCGCCUAAGGAUGGGUCUGCGGCCUAUCAGGUAGUAGUGGGUGUAGCGUACCUACUAGCCUACGACGGGUACGGGUUGUGAGAGCAAGAGCCCGGAGAUGGAUUCUGAGACACGAAUCCAGGCCCUACGGGGUGCAGCAGGCGCGAAAACUUUACAAUGCUGGCAACAGCGAUAAGGGAACCUCGAGUGCCAGGUUACAAAUCUGGCUGUCGAGAUGCCUAAAAAGCAUUUCAUAGCAAGGGCCGGGCAAGACCGGUGCCAGCCGCCGCGGUAACACCGGCGGCUCGAGUGGUAACCGUUAUUAUUGGGUCUAAAGGGUCUGUAGCCGGCCGGAUAAGUCUCUUGAGAAAUCUGGCAGCUUAACUGUCAGGCUUUCAGGAGAUACUGUCUGGCUCGAGGCCGGGAGAGGUGAGAGGUACUUCAGGGGUAGGGGUGAAAUCUUGUAAUCCUUGAAGGACCACCAGUGGCGAAGGCGUCUCACCAGAACGGACCUGACGGCAAGGGACGAAAGCUAGGGGCACGAACCGGAUUAGAUAC